CGUAACGCGUAUACAAUCUGCCUUUCACAUAGGGAUAGCCCGAAGAAAUUUGGAUUAAUACCCUAAUGGUAUAUAAGAGCGGCAUCGUUUUUAUAUUAAAGCUACGGUGGUGAAAGAUGAGUAUGCGUUCUAUUAGCUAGUUGGAGAGGUAACGGCUCCCCAAGGCGACGAUAGAUAGGGGUUCUGAGAGGGAUGUCCCCCACACUGGUACUGAGAUACGGACCAGACUCCUACGGGAGGCAGCAGUGAGGAAUAUUGGACAAUGGUCGGAAGACUGAUCCAGCCAUGCCGCGUGCAGGAUGAAGGUCCUAUGGAUUGUAAACUGCUUUUGUAAGGGAAGAAUAAGGAGUACGUGUACUUUGAUGACGGUACCUUACGAAUAAGCAUCCGCUAACUCCGUGCCAGCAGCCGCGGUAAUACGGAGGAUGCGAGCGUUAUCCGGAAUCAUUGGGUUUAAAGGGUCC
rnacentral:rRNA from 1 species